UACGUAGGGGGCAAGCGUUGUCCGGAAUCAUUGGGCGUAAAGAGCGUGUAGGCGGCUUGGUAAGUCCGCUGUGAAAGUCCAGGGCUCAACCCUGGAAUGCCGGUGGAAACUGUCAAGCUUGAGUCCGGAAGAGGCGAGUGGAAUUCCUGGUGUAGCGGUGAAAUGCGCAGAUAUCAGGAGGAACACCAGUGGCGAAGGCAGCUCGCUGGGACGGUACUGACGCUGAGACGCGAAAGCGUGGGGAGCAAACAGG
rnacentral:rRNA from 1 species